rnacentral:rRNA from 1 species
UACGGAGGGUGCAAGCGUUAUCCGGAUUUACUGGGUUUAAAGGGUACGUAGGCGGACUUUUAAGUCAGGGGUGAAAUCCCGAGGCUCAACCUCGGAACUGCCUUUGAAACUACUAGUCUUGAAUUAUGUUGAGGUUGGCGGAAUACAACAUGUGGCGGUGAAAUGCAUAGAUAUGUUGUGGAACACAGAUUGCGAAGGCAGCUGACUGAACAUAUAUUGACGCUGAGGUACGAAAGCGUGGGGAUCAAACAGG